rnacentral:rRNA from 1 species
UACGGAAGGCAGCAGGGGGGAAUAUUGCACAAUGGGCGAAAGCCUGAUGCAGCUAUGCCGCGUGUAUGAAGAAGGCCUUAGGGUUGUAAAGUACUUUCAUCGGGGAGGAAAAAAACAAAACUAAUAAUUUUAUUUCUUGACGUUACCCGAAAAAGAAGCACCGGCUAACUCCGUGCCAGCAGCCGCGGUAAUACGGAGGGUGCUAGCGUUAAUCAGAAUUACUGGGCGUAAAGAGCACGUAGGUGGUUUUUUUAAAGUCAGAUGUGAAAUCCCUGGGCUUAACCUAGGAACUGCAUUUUGAAACUGAAAUACUAGAGUAUCGUAGAGGGAGGUAGAAUUCUAGGUGUAGCGGUGAAAUGCGUAGAUAUCUGGAGGAAUACCUGUGGCGAAAGCGGCCUCCUAAACGAAUACUGACACUGAGGGUGCGAAAGCGUGGGGAGCAAACAGGGAUUAGAUACC